rnacentral:rRNA from 1 species
UAGACUAAUCUACCCCUGGAGUGGGGAAUAACGCUGGGAAACCGGCGCUAAUACCGCAUAAUCCCGAGAGGGCAAAGGAGCAAUUCGCUUCAGGAGGAGUCCGCGGCCGAUUAGCUAGUUGGCAGGGUAAAAGCCUACCAAGGCAACGAUCGGUAGCCGGCCUGAGAGGGCACACGGCCACACUGGCACUGAAACACGGGCCAG